rnacentral:rRNA from 1 species
GACGAACGCUGGCGGCGUGCUUAACACAUGCAAGUCGAACGAAGUGGCACACGGGUGUGUAACGCGUAAUCCACCUGCCCUUCAGAGGGGGACAACAGUUGGAAACGACUGCUAACACCGCCUACUUACGGAGGGGAUUGCGUCGGAUUAGCUAGUUGGAGGGGUAACGGCCCACCAAGGCGAUGAUCAGUAGCCGGUCUGGGAGGAUGGACGGGCAACACUGGACUGGGAAACGGGCCAGGCCUCUACGGGAGGGAGCAGUUGGUGAACUUCCGCUAUUGACGAAAGUCCUGCGGAGCAACGCCGCGGUGGUGAUGACAGCCUUCGGGUUGGAAAACUAUGUUAAGCGGGACGCGGUACCGGAAUAGAAAGCCACGGCUAACUACGUGCCAGCAGCCGCGGUAAUUC